rnacentral:rRNA from 1 species
AGAGUUUGAUCAUGGCUCAGGACGAACGCUGGCGGCGUGCCUAAUGCAUGCAAGUCGCACGCAGCACCUUCGGGUGCUGAGUGGCGCACGGCUGAGGAACACGUGGGAAUCUGCCCGACCGUGGGGGAUAACACGCCGAAAGGCGUGCUAAUCCCGCAUACGCUCGCAAGAGGAAAGCAGUAAUGCGCGGUCGGAGGAGCCUGCGGCCCAUCAGGUAGUUGGCGGGGUAACGGCCCACCAAGCCACUGACGGGUAGCUGGUCUGUGAGGACAACCAGCCAGACUGGGACUGAGACACGGCCCAGACUCCUACGGGAGGCAGCAGCAAGGAAUUUUCGGCAAUGGGGGCAACCCUGACCGAGCAACGCCGCGUGGAGGAUGACGGCCUUCGGGUUGUAAACUCCUUUUGCGGGGGAUGACAUCGACCGUACCCCGCGAAUAAGGCUCGGCUAACUCUGUGCCAGCAGCCGCGGUAAGACAGAGGAGCCAAGCGUUGUCCGGAUUGACUGGGCGUAAAGCGCACGCAGGCGGUCGCGCGCGUGGGGUGUGAAAGCUGGCGGCUUAACUGCCAGAUGCCAUCCCAUACGGCGCGACUCGAGCCCUGCAGAGGUCCAUGGAAUUGCCGGUGUAGUGGUGAAAUGCGUAGAGAUCGGCAGGAACACCCAGGGGGAAACCAGUGGACUGGGCAGGAGCUGACGCUCAGGUGCGAAAGCGUGGGGAGCGAACCGGAUUAGAUACCCUAGUAGUCC